rnacentral:rRNA from 1 species
AUUGAACGCUGGCGGCAUGCCUUACACAUGCAAGUCGAACGGUAACAGGUCUUCGGAUGCUGACGAGUGGCGAACGGGUGAGUAAUACAUUGGAACGUGCCUAGUAGUGGGGGAUAACUACUCGAAAGAGUGGCUAAUACCGCAUGAGAUCUACGGAUGAAAGCAGGGGAUCGCAAGACCUUGUGCUACUAGAGCGGCCGAUGGCAGAUUAGGUAGUUGGUGGGAUAAAAGCUUACCAAGCCGACGAUCUGUAGCUGGUCUGAGAGGACGAUCAGCCACAGUGGGACUGAGACACGGCCCAGACUCCUACGGGAGGCAGCAGUGGGGAACUUUGGACAAUGGGCGCAAGCCUGAUCCAGCAAUGCCGCGUGCAGGAUGAAGGCCUUCGGGUUGUAAACUGCUUUUGUACGGAACGAAAAGCCCUGGGUUAAUACCCUGGGGUCAUGACGGUACCGUAAGAAUAAGCACCGGCUAACUACGUGCCAGCCGCCGCCGUAAAAC